UGCACAUGAUGCCAUUCUCACGAUGGUCUUCCAAGCCUCAUGGUGAAGGGGCUUUGACGACGAUGCCCUUGUGGCUUUGCUGAUGCCUGCAG
ensembl:snoRNA